AUGGUCUGGCUGAUCAGGACCUUUUUAAUUCGGGAUGGCCUCUCCACCCUUUUCAAAGAAGACGGCCCAUCUGAAUAUCAAGUUUAUUACCUGAGGCACAUGGAGAAUUGGGGAACAUCAGCACGUAAACAGAAAGAGCUUUCCAAACUGUUGGAUCAAUGGGCUGUCCACAUUACAGGAAAGUGUGGCAAUAAGCCACUCUCGUCCUCAGCGUAUCUUGAUGAGGCAGAGCCUUUCCUUGAACAAUAUGCUAACCAGGAUCUGGUAGGGGCGGCUGGUGUCUUGGUUCAAGCAGAAAAUUUGAGAGAUGGAGAGGAUGAUCUUCAGCCAGAACGUGGGACAGCACCUUGUAGUCCUACAACGUCUCUCGAUGCUGUUUCCAAAACUGAGGGCCUUAUUGUCUUCUUUCCUGGUAUACCUGGUUGUGCAAAGUCUGUUCUAUGUAAGGAAAUAUUGGAAAUGCCUGGUGGCCUUGGUGAUAAUCGCCCUCUUCAUUGUAUGACAGGAGAUCUUAUUGGAGGAAGAUACUGGCAAAAGGUUGCUGAUAAGCGAAAAGAGGAACCAUUUAGAAUAACCCUCGCCAAUAAAAACGCACCAAAUGAGGAAGUGUGGCGGCAGAUUGAGGAUAUAUGCCGGACCACAAAAGCAGCUGCCGCUCCUGUUAUUCCUGAUUCUGAAGGCACCGAUACAAAUCCAUUUUCUUUGGAAGCUCUUGCUGUUUUCAUGUUUCGUGUGCUCCAACGGGUCAAUCAUGAUGGACAUCUGGACGAGGCAUUAUGGAAUGCUGGUUAUGUUUUGCUAAAGUUUUACAACCUUUAUGAGGGCAAGGAAAAAUGCACUUCCAGAGUCGAAGUGAAUUCGAAAGCGAUCUGUAUGAGCGUUUCGGCUUCUUGGUUAAGACGCCUCUCCUGA
rnacentral:rRNA from 1 species